rnacentral:rRNA from 4 species
ACGGGUGAGUAAUGCCUAGGAAUCUGCCUGGUAGUGGGGGAUAACGCUCGGAAACGGACGCUAAUACCGCAUACGUCCUACGGGAGAAAGCAGGGGACCUUCGGGCCUUGCGCUAUCAGAUGAGCCUAGGUCGGAUUAGCUAGUUGGUGAGGUAAUGGCUCACCAAGGCGACGAUCCGUAACUGGUCUGAGAGGAUGAUCAGUCACACUGGAACUGAGACACGGUCCAGACUCCUACGGGAGGCAGCAGUGGGGAAUAUUGGACAAUGGGCGAAAGCCUGAUCCAGCCAUGCCGCGUGUGUGAAGAAGGUCUUCGGAUUGUAAAGCACUUUAAGUUGGGAGGAAGGGUUGUAACCUAAUACGUUGCAAUUUUGACGUUACCGACAGAAUAAGCACCGGCUAACUCUGUGCCAGCAGCCGCGGUAAUACAGAGGGUGCAAGCGUUAAUCGGAAUUACUGGGCGUAAAGCGCGCGUAGGUGGUUCGUUAAGUUGGAUGUGAAAUCCCCGGGCUCAACCUGGGAACUGCAUUCAAAACUGACGAGCUAGAGUAUGGUAGAGGGUGGUGGAAUUUCCUGUGUAGCGGUG